ensembl:lncRNA
CACAAUGAGACAGCUGAUCAAACUUUGUUUUCAGCAUGAAUUUGGUUUGAAGAAACCUAAGGUGGUAUUUACUCCUGUCAGUUUUAGAUAUCUAGCUCAGGGUGAGAUUCUUGUCUCCAGAAUAAAGUCUUUAUUUCCAUCUCUUGGAAGGGGGCUACAGCCCCAGGCUCCAUCAGGUACAGAGACCAGAAGAAACUCAGCUCUAGAUGUUAAAGAAAAGGUAGGGCUCUUGUCCUGAGGCUGCACCAGACUCCACAAAUGAAACAACAUUAAUGGUAUGACAUAAUACUUGAGGGUUUGCCUGUUAAAACAUGACGGUACCCCAAGCAUCUAGUUCUUCACAGUUGUGGCUUACAUAACAAAAUUGCAUGCAGUGUUUUGUACAGCUUCUUAAAAGUCUUUGUAAACAGCAAUUUCAUUCCCUCUCAGAGCAGCAGGCACGUUCCUUGCAGAGGUUAAAGGAGGACAGUACCAGGCCUGGAGAGCGUGGAAGCUUCUAGGUAGGCUGCCCGUUGGUGUCUGUGGAUGAAGUUUCUCCCGAUGCAGGUGCUGGCUGUAAGCAACUGUGCUGAGGCGGAUGGAGAAACAGGGCUUGGAAAUGGAAAGAGGAACAGUCUUAAACUUCAGGAGGGCAGUGGGUAAAAGUUCCCAGGAAGUAAAGUGAGGAUUUCCUCAAAAAGCCAGGAAGGAGCCUUGCAGGCCUGCACUGCAGCUAUUGCUGGAAACCUGCUUGGUGCCAGCUAGGAGCGGGGAGCAAAUGAGAAGUACGGUGAACGCUUGGUUCCUCAAAGUGGUUGGUGCGUGAUUGAAUCUGCACUAUCUUUGAUGAAGGAUGUUUCACUUCCCCAAACGAACUUGUGUUUUAGAUUUAGUCCCAUAUAUAUUUUUUCAGGCAAAACUCAGUGAAAUGGAAACAGAUGUGUAUAAAUAUGUUGUAACAACAGCUACUAUCUUCAUACAAAAUGCAGCUAGAAUUACCACAUGUGCUUCUCCUAUUGACGUCUAACGGUUAUUUUGCCCCGUGCCUCUCAUCAAAAUGUGAUUUAUUUAGCUGUGAGAUUGGGACACCGUAUCUGAAGUCUCUGGGACAGAUUACAGGGGAGGCAGAACAGUACAGUGGUGAUCUAUGGCUGUUCAGCUACUGCUUUAUUUUUAGUUGAUUGGAUUAUGUCGCUAUCUGGAUUGUGACCGUGAUGGUGCCUGUGAUGGUAAUAUCUUGGCAUUGAAUUCAAAUACAGCCCCUUAAAGGAAGAAGCCUUGCACUUUCCAGAACCAACUCCAGGAGCUGACCAGAAGCGUGUUCAUCAUAACCACCUAUUUGGGAAUUUUUCUUCUUCGUCAAAGCAAGUUACUCUGCAGUGCACAGCAAAGGCCAUAGAAACAAAGAGGAUGGGAUGGAAAGGUUAUAGCUUGAAUCCUGACAUUCCUCAGGCUUGUGUUCAGCCUUUCAUCUCUGCGCUGCCCUGUGGGAGAGCAAGGUGCAGCGGGAUGCUGAGGAAGGAGGGGAGCAGCAGCCCACAGCUGUGUGGCUCGGUGUAGUGCAGCUGGUGAGUUACGUACUGCUACCUUCCUGAAAAGUAAAAUGCCUGGAGUACGUGCCAUCAGAAUAACAGGAGUAGAACUGACCAUGUGCUGGGGAGGGAGGAAACGGGCCUCCAAGUCAUUUGAAAACCAUCAUCAUCAUUUUGUUCGCUGUCAAAAACACCAGCAUGCCUCUGCCACCAUCAUACGGUAUUUGCACGGUGUGGAUCCAAAGAAGUGAGACAUCUGAUACUACAAUUUGUUCUUGGCUGAAGAAGACGGAGAAAAUACUCAGGAAUUUAUAACAUAUAUGUGUAUAAUUAAAAAGCAAGUGCAUCUUCCAGUGAGAGACUUGGGAGGCAUCCAACCGCAGGGAAAGCCCUGUGAGUUCGUGUCUGUGUAUCCUUGGAGCACACCUCUGUAACAGAACGCGUGCUUUGACAAUUCCUUGAAUGAUACCACAGCCCGCUGGUAACAGAUGUGCUUUCACACGGAACUGCAAUCUCCCCAUACCGACGCUGACGGGACGUGGGCGCGAGC